rnacentral:lncRNA from 1 species
AUGAAACAGUUCUGUCCUGGGAUGUACCACCGAGGGGUAGCGGAAAGACCACCCACUCUGGAAGGUACCAUUGGGAGAGGGCGUGUGACAACAGCGGCACUCAUGGCGCCACUAGGUCCAUCCCCACUCGCUCCUCUUGGUCUUCCCACUGCUUUUGAAUCCGAGUGGACACAGAUAAUGAGGGAAAGACUCCCUGAAAGAUGGCAAGUAAGCAGAGAUCUGGAGGAAGUAAGGGAGCAGGCUGUGGGGUUACCUAAGAGAAGAGCAUUCCAGGCAGAAGGAACAAUAAAUGCAACAGUCCUGGCAUGGAAAUCUACUCGGCGUGCUCCUGAAUGUCAAGGAAUCUUGUAAUGGGCUGGGUUUGGCACGUAGCUCUCAUCGAAAGGGGGCCUGGUGCUGCUUUUUCAGUUUCUCCCACAGUUUGUGGUCAUCCGCAUCUGUAACCUAUUUCUUUCCUUAUAUUGGUAAGUUUUGUCUUUAGUUAUCUUUUUUUUUUUUUUUUAUUCUUGUGGGUGGAAACUUAUGAAUUCAUAUUGACCUUUUGAAAGAGCCAGCUUUGGGUUUUGUUGCUUAUCUACAUAUUUUUUCUAAUAUCUGUUCUGAUCAUUAUUUCCCUUAUUUUGCUGACAGUCUCACUACCAAAGAGGUUUAAUAAAGUCCCUGAGAGUUUCCCA